AGUUGAUACAUAAUAAAAAGAAUAAAUAUAAAGAGACAAAGAGAGAAAAAAAGGAAUAAGAAAGGAAGAACAUAAAGGAAGAAGGAAGAGAGGGAGAGAGGAAGAAAGCAAUAGACGGAGGAAAGGAAAAGGUAGGAGGAAAAAAGACAAAGCUAGCAGGAAACCAAUAUAUAUAUAAUAAAUAUUAAUGUUAAGAAUAUAUUAAUUAAUGGAAGUGUUAAUGAUCUGUGAGUGGUCUGCCCAGAUGUGAUUCUUACUAUACUAUUACAUAGCCCAAAUUUUCUUAAUUGGACAUACAUUUUCUGUAGCCAGAAAAUUAAAAUAUUAAUUUCAGAAAAAAAUUGUUAUUUCUAUCCUCUAAAUGCAUGCCCCAAUGAAUAAUAGUCAAAUAUUAAAAUUACACACACAAAAGUUGUGAAAUAGAAGACUAUAUAUAUUUUUUCAUUAACAUAAACAGAAAAAUUCCUACUAGCUCUUCACAUCAGGAUUUGUAUGACCCAUUAACGUGUUCAAAUGCAACAUUGCUCAUUAAAGGAAGAGUUCUUACAACUCAAUUCAAGGCAAUAAGGCCCCAGCAACUGACCUCACAGGAAUAGUCCCUUGCUUCCUAGCUUGGCAGCACCCCACACUGUUGGUCUUGCAACAG
rnacentral:lncRNA from 1 species